rnacentral:rRNA from 1 species
UUACUAUGCCUCUGAAAUCCCCUCAUCUCCCCCCAUAACCAUUGGAAACCAUGGCUAAUACCACAUAAUAACUUCAGCUCAAAGAGGGGGACCUUCGGGCCUCUCGCGUCAGGAUAUGCCCAGGUGGGAUUAGCUAGUUGGUGAGGUAAUGGCUCACCAAGGCGACGAUCCCUAGCUGGUCUGAGAGGAUGAUCAGCCACACUGGAACUGAGACACGGUCCAGACUCCUACGGGAGGCAGCAGUGGGGAAUAUUGCACAAUGGGCGCAAGCCUGAUGCAGCCAUGCCGCGUGUAUGAAGAAGGCCUUCGGGUUGUAAAGUACUUUCAGCAGUGAGGAAGGCAGAUACGUUAAUAGCGUGCUUGUUUGACGUUAGCUGCAGAAGAAGCACCGGCUAACUCCGUGCCAGCAGCCGCGGUAAUACGGAGGGUGCGAGCGUUAAUCGGAAUUACUGGGCGUAAAGCGCAUGCAGGUGGUUUGUUAAGUCAGAUGUGAAAGCCCGGGGCUCAACCUCGGAAUUGCAUUUGAAACUGGCAGACUAGAGUACUGUGAGGGGGGUAGAAUUUCAGGUGUAGCGGUGAAAUGC